UGGUUAUUUGAUACAAAUAUUAAAAAGAAUAAUAAACAGGGUUGUUUUUGUUUAUUUUUCCAUAGAAAAGAUAACUCAGAGGACCUAUCAUCUGUCAAAGUGACAUCUAAAAUGAACUUCUGCGGAAGAAAAUAUAAGCGGGGCAGCAACUGGUCUUAACCAGAGGUGGCAGAACUCCUCCGGCAGUAGUCAGAUGAGUCGGUCCAACUAGAGCUGGAGAGUUUCCUCAGAAAUCAACAUGUUUUCAACCGAAUAGCGGAUGUCCUGCGAGAGAAAGGCAUCUAUCACACCGGCGACCAGUGCAGGGAGAAUAUCAAAAGGAUUCAACUGGAGUACCGCCGCAUCAAGGUAUGAGUUGCACACCAUUAUAGAUGAGGUGUACAUGCUGAUGGUGUUUGAAGAGACAGCCACCUUCAACAGCGUCCUUAUUAUGGAGAGCUUGCCGGACCACCAGAGAACACAUGUGAUGUGGGGGAUCAGCAAGGGUCAACAAAAAACACUUGGCCUGAUGGUUCAUGCAGAAACUGGGGAAGCAAUAUAGAAAUGUAUUGAUCCCUUAAAUGAUUUUACUAUUAAAUGACCCAUAUCACAAUCCUCAUACCUCUUCACAAAAAUGUACCUAAAUCAAUUUUGGAAAAAGGAAUUCACUCACAAAAGACGUAGGAAUUUAUUUUUCCAGUUAGAAAUAGUAGGCCAUGCAUCAAAUAACUAUUUUCAUCAGAAAAACGAACCCUCAAAUACACUAUUGCAUUUUGUAAGUUGUCUGCAGGUGGCUUGUUGUGAAUGCACUCAAAUAUCAAGUCAUUAUCAGGUUAUGUAAACUGUCUUAAUGUACAGUAUAUGAAAGUGAUGCUAUGAAAAGGAUUCUUUCACAUCAUCAAGCUCACGCUGACUGACAAAUCACAACCUAGUACUGUGAUUAAAAUGAGCAUAUGAAACAUUGCUUUUCAUUAGGCCUACCUGUCGUCUUCCUUUAAGCACCUCUGUUCGAACAUCUCUCAUGUCCUUAAUCCAUACCACAUACAGCCAUUUGUGGAUCUUUUCAGUGUACAUGUGACAGAUAGUUAUUGCGAGGCUGGAACAUCCCAAAAUAAUGUUUUAUAACACCCAUAUAAAAUGAAGUCCAUGCAAGCUUACAUAUUUAAGUCUAAUAGCAUGAGAUGAAAGUAGACAAACAGAGUGUAUAGGUAUUCUGAACCUUUUUUGAGGUCAGUAGGUCACAUGACCAAGGAGGUAUUGAAAUGUUAAAUGUAGAGAAAUUAAUGUAAAAUCAUGUGAGAUGAAAAUGGACAAACUAAAGGGUGUGCAAUAUGGAAGGGCAGUCAGUGGACAUUCUGAACCUUGUUUGAAGUCAUAGGUCGUAUGACCAAUGAGCUAUUGAAAAAAAAAAAUGUAAAUACAUAAUUUAAAAUAGUGCAAGAUUUAAAUUGACAAAAAAAGUGUGCAAUGUCUGUCUAUGCCAUCGGGUUAGCUGUAACCAGUUUUGAAAGUUUUAGGAGUAAUGGUUAAAGAGCUAUUGAAAUUUGAACAUUUUGAUUUGUCACUAUGUUGACAGUCCCUAUCUGCUGUUGGUGAACGUUAGGAAAACUACAGGCGAAUAUCCAACCUGAAACUGUUUUUACCUCGGUGUAAUGAACGUGUAGGAGUCGGGACGAGAGAGAGAGGCAGGCAGCGUUUCUCAGCCAGUCUAAAUCAUGAAUCAGUUGGCAUACUUUUUAUGGAUAUAUACAAAGAAAUGCCAAUUGAAAAAAGGUCAAACGAAACGAAGUGCAGCUAGUUUGCAGUCUUUCCAGCUUCAGUUUGAAGUUAUUGUAUUAGCUGCGUUGUUGGCUAGCUCCUCUGGACAAGUGUCCUAACGAGAGAGCACAUUUUCUAUGCCAGGCGAAAUACCGCCUCAUUAGUUCAUUGUUAUGUAUCCAAAUAAACGUCACUAGAAAAAAGCUUAAACAAAUGCAGCUACUGUUGUUAUUAUUUCUGCAUUGUUUGACGUGACUAAGUUAGCAGUAGUUUGCUAGCUAGCAAGCAAAGGAUAAGAAUGCUGCUAGCCAGUAUGGCAAUGGAACAUUUAGAACGAACGACUGGAUACAGAACAAAACAAUACUGAACUAACGUUACUGGGUUGCGUCUCUGGCAAACAAACUAAUAUAACCCAUUAUUUGUUUCGGGACUAUAUCUUGUAUAACUUUUUACAUUAAAAUAUGUCAAUCAUUAUUUGAAGAUGUUGGUAACCCGUUAAAAGUGGUAAUGCCCUCGAAGCCGGUGUUUGGAGGAUAUAUUGGUACGGUUUGCUGGCCAUCGACUUUGUCUCGGUCUAAAAACGUGGUUCCAAUAUAUCCUCCAAACACCGGUAUCUCGGGCAUUAUCACGUAAGUAAACAGAGUAGCGCUGUUUAAAACCUCUCUGGGAUAUGUGGGACGAUAGCGUCCCACCUCGCCAACAGCCAGUGAAAGUGCACGGCGCCAAAUUCAAAACUACAAAAAUCUCAAUUAAAAUUCCUCAAGUAUACAAGUAUUUUAUACCAUUUUAAAGAUAAAAUUAUCGUUAAUCCAGCCACAGUGUCUGAUUUCAAAAAUGCUUUAGAGCGAAAGCACCACAAACGAUUAUGUUAGGUCACCACCAACUCACAGAAAAACACAGCCAUUUUUCCAGCCAAAGAGAGGAGUCACAAAAAGCACAAAUAGAGAUAAAAUUAUUCACUAACCUUUGAUGAUCUUCAUCAGAUGACACUCAUAGGACUUCAUGUUACACAAUACAUGUAUGUUUUGUUCACUAAAGUGCAUAUUUAUAUAAAAAAAUCUCAUUUUACAUUGGCACGUCACGUUCAGUAGUUCUAAAACAUGCCGUGAUUGUGCAGAGAGCCACAUCAAUUCACAGAAACACUCAUCAUAAAUGUUGAUGAAAAUACAAGUGUUAUACAUGGAAAUAGAGAUAUACUUCUCCCUAAUGCAACCACUGUGUCAGAUUUCAAAAGAACUUUACGGAAAAAGCAAACCAUGCAAUAAUCAGGGUCCUGGAGUGGCCUAGCCAGUCUCUAGAUCUCAAUCCCAUAGGAAAUCUUUGGAGGGAGUUGAAAGUCCUUGUUGCCCAGCAACAGCCCCAAAACAUCACUGCUCUAGAGGAGAUCUGCAUGGAGGAAUGGGCCAAAAUACCAGCAACAGUGUGUGAAAACCUUGUGAAGACUUACAGAAAACGUUUGACCUCUGUCAUUGCCAACAAAGGGUAUAUAACAAAGUAUUGGGAUAAACUUUUGUUAUUGACCAAAUACUUAUUUUCCACCAUCAUUUGCAAAUAAAUUCAUUAAAAAUCCUACAAUGUGAUUUUCUGGAUUUCUUUUCUCAUUUUGUCUGUCAUAGUUGAA
rnacentral:lncRNA from 1 species